GAUGAACGCUGGCGGCGUGCCUAAUACAUGCAAGUCGAGCGAAUGGAUUAAGAGCUUGCUCUUAUGAAGUUAGCGGCGGACGGGUGAGUAACACGUGGGUAACCUGCCCAUAAGACUGGGAUAACUCCGGGAAACCGGGGCUAAUACCGGAUAACAUUUUGAACCGCAUGGUUCGAAAUUGAAAGGCGGCUUCGGCUGUCACUUAUGGCUGGACCCGCGUCGCAUUAGCUAGUUGGUGAGGUAACGGCUCACCAAGGCAACGAUGCGUAGCCGACCUGAGAGGGUGAUCGGCCACACUGGGACUGAGACACGGCCCAGACUCCUACGGGAGGCAGCAGUAGGGAAUCUUCCGCAAUGGACGAAAGUCUGACGGAGCAACGCCGCGUGAGUGAUGAAGGCUUUCGGGUCGUAAAACUCUGUUGUUAGGGAAGAACAAGUGCUAGUUGAAUAAGCCGGCACCUUGACGGUACCUAACCAGAAAGCCACGGCUAAAGACGUGCCAGCCGCCGCUGUAA
rnacentral:rRNA from 1 species